GACGUAGGGCGCGAGCGUUGUCCGGAUUUAUUGGGCGUAAAGAGCUCGUAGGCGGCUCAUUGCGUCAACCGUGAAAACCAGCAGCUCAACUGUUGGCUUGCGGUUGAUACGGGUGGGCUGGAGUUCGGUAGGGGAGACUGGAAUUCCUGGUGUAGCGGUGAAAUGCGCAGAUAUCAGGAGGAACACCGGUGGCGAAGGCGGGUCUCUGGGCCGUAACUGACGCUGAGGAGCGAAAGCGUGGGUAGCGAACAGG
rnacentral:rRNA from 1 species